AAUUUUGGACAAUGGGGGAAACCCUGAUCCAGCAAUGCAGCGUGCAGGAUGAAGGCCUUCGGGUUGUAAACUGCUUUUGUACGAAACGAAAAGUCUUGGGCUAAUACCCUGGGUUCAUGACGGUACCGUAAGAAUAAGCACCGGCGACAUACGUGCCAGCAGCCGUGGUAAUACGUAAGGUGCAAGAGUUAAUCGGAAUUACUGGGCGUAAAGCGUGCGCAGGCGGUUUUGUAAGACAGUGGUGAAAUCCCCGGGCUCAACCUGGGAACUGCCAUUGUGACUGCAAGGCUGGAGUGCGGCAGAGGGGGAUGGAAUUCCGCGUGUAGCAGUGAAAUGCGUAGAUAUGCGGAGGAACACCGAUGGCGAAGGCAAUCCCCUGGGCCUGCACUGACGCUCAUGCACGAAAGCGUGGGGAGCAAACAGG
rnacentral:rRNA from 1 species